rnacentral:rRNA from 1 species
GAUGAACGCUGGCGGCGUGCCUAACACAUGCAAGUCGAGCGAUUCUCUUCGGAGAAGAGCGGCGGACGGGUGAGUAACGCGUGGGUAACCUGCCUCAUACACAUGGAUAACAUACCGAAAGGUAUGCUAAUACAAGAUGAUAUAAGAGAUUCGCAUGGAUUUCUUAUCAAAGCUCCGGCGGUAUGAGGUGGACCCGCGUCUGAUUAGCUAGUUGGUAAGGUAACGGCUUACCAAGGCGACGAUCAGUAGCCGACCUGAGAGGGUGAUCGGCCACAUUGGAACUGAGACACGGUCCAAACUCCUACGGGAGGCAGCAGUGGGGAAUAUUGCACAAUGGGCGAAAGCCUGAUGCAGCAACGCCGCGUGAGUGAUGAAGGCCUUCGGGUCGUACAACUCUGUCCUCAAGGAAGAUAAUGACGGUACUUGAGGAGGAAGCCCCGGCUAACUACGUGCCAGCCGCCGCCGUAAAAC